GUUUGUGUGCCAAGUAAGAUCUUCAGGAAUUUUUUGAAAAUUUGGGCUCUUCGUUUACAUGAAAAGCAACGUGACUGAAGGGCUCAGAGUUGAUGCUAACCUUAUGACUACCUUAGGUGGCACUAACAAGAGAAUAUCCAUCACUAGUGGGUACAGACUGAGUUAGAGCAUUCCCAGGUGCAGAUUGAGUCUAAGAAUCAACAAACCAGAAACAGUAAAAUUAUGCUUUGGACUUAGUAGAGCACUGAACUACUCAAUUACUGUCAAAAAUCCCAAGUAAAUGGUGCACAGUUUCUCUGACAAAUGUUCCAAGCCUGUCCUCUUUACAAAGGGUUAUGUCCAGAUGAGCAACUCCAACAGAGAAAUGGAAG